CGCCUGUUUAACAAAAACAUCUCUUUUUGAGCAUAAAUAAAAAGUUUAACCUGCCCACUGAUAAAAUUAAAUGGCCGCAGUAUAUUUACUGUGCAAAGGUAGCAUAAUCAUUAGUCUUUUAAUUGAAGGCUGGAAUGAAUGGUUGGACGAAAUAUUUACUGUUUCAUAUUAAUUUUUGAUAAAAUUUUAUUUUUUAGUAAAAAAGCUAAAAUAAUAUUAAAAGACGAGAAGACCCUAUAAAUCUUUAUAUUUUAAUUAAUUUUUAUAAAUUAGAAAUUAAAUUAUUUAAUUUAAUUUAAAUAUUUUAUUGGGGUGAUAUUAAAAUUUAAUUAACUUUUAAUUUUAUUGAACAUUAAUUUAUGAAUUAUUGAUCCAAUAAUAUUGAUUAUUAGAAUAAGUUACUUUAGGGAUAACAGCGUAAUUUUUUUGGAGAGUUCAUAUUGAUAAAAAAUAUUGCGACCUCGAUGUUGGAUUAAGAAAUAAAUUUAGGUGUAGAAGCUUAAAAAUUAAGUCUCUUCGACUUUUAAAUUCUUACGUGAUCUGAGUUUCAGA
rnacentral:rRNA from 1 species